rnacentral:lncRNA from 1 species
GCGGCCAGGGCCGCCAUGUGCCUGGUGUGCGGCCGGGUGCGUUGCGAUGGGAGACCCACCUAGACCCGGCCCUGGUGGCCAUGGGACGCAGCGACUCAGUCAGGAAAAGGGCAGGCGGUCGGAGAGGGGAAGUCGAGGUGGCUGAAACAACGCUGCCCCGCGGAGAUCGCGGGCCUCAAGGGACUGCCCUCCCAUCCUCCAUCCCCGCAAGGACUAAGGCCAAGCCGCGGCAGCCGCAGCCGCCGCCCCCUCUCCUCUCGUCCCCGGUCCCGGAGGCUCUGGGGUGCUGCCGCCACUGCAACUUUCUCCUGUGAUACCCCCUCUUUGUUAUGGAGCAGCUGAUCCGCUGACAUCACCCGGCGCCGAGGAGAAUGUCCUCUUGGAGGAGUGCGGUUAGCCCCGGUGUUAGGAGCAGCCUACCUGUGUCAAGAGCCUUUCCAUGUGCUGCUUUGAGAGUGUUUGGAACCGGCGCCCAUUCCCUGCCUCUACAGAAAUGGAUCUCGAAUGUGCCUAGAAGGAUCUGGGGCUGAGGCCGCCACUACUCCUAGCCCCUUGAUGAUUCAGGAAUGCCUCUACUGGCUGAGCACGCCCUCCGUCCCUCAGUGAUCCAGUCAGACAGGAAUUCAUCACUGAGCCACUACUCCGGACUCCCAGCUCCUAGCUCAUGUCCCUGCAGUGUAUCCAGUAAACUAAAUUUAGACCCUCGGGGACAACAGAGAAGGAGCCAUGUGGCCCAGAUCUCUGUCUUCGUGUGCGGUGGGCUAUAUGACAUGCUUGCCUUCUCCGAUCUGAAAACCUAGGCUAGAUUUGGGUCUAGUGAAACAACUUGGGGGUUGGGGAAAAGGCUACAAUCGGAAACUGCGCAUUUCUGUAACAAUAACUUCAGACAAAGUAAGAUGAAGAGGUUUGAAAAAUAAAUACAAUUGCCAUGAAAACCAAA